GUGAGCCUAGUGAUAGGAGACUAUCUAGCUUGGUUCGGAGAGCACUUGUUGGGUUAAAGAUUUUUUUGUUGCUAAAUGUUACAGCCUUGGAGGCUGCUGGACUCUAAA
rnacentral:ncRNA from 1 species